UCCCUACGGGGCGCAGCAGUGGGGAAUCUUGGACAAUGGGCGAAAGCCUGAUCCAGCCAUGCCGCGUGAGUGAAGAAGGCCUUAGGGUUGUAAAGCUCUUUUGCCCGGGAAGAUAAUGACGGUACCGGGAGAAUAAGCCCCGGCAGACUUCGUGCCAGCAGCCGCGGUAAUACGAAGGGGGCUAGCGUUGUUCGGAUUUACUGGGCGUAAAGCGCACGUAGGCGGAUUGUUAAGUCG
rnacentral:rRNA from 1 species